rnacentral:rRNA from 1 species
CAGCCGCGUAAUUCCAGCUCCAAUAGUGUAUAUUAAAGUUGUUGCAGUUAAAAAGCUCGUAGUUGAACUUCGGGGUUCACCCAUUGGUCAGGCUUAAUUGUCUGUACUGGUGAGAUGAGUCUCUACCUUCUGAGGAACUUUCAUGCCAUUUAUUUGGUGUGGUUGGAAAUCAGGACUGUUACUUUGAAAAAAUUAGAGUGUUUAAAGCAGGCUAACGUCUGAAUACAUUAGCAUGGAAUAAUGAAAUAGGACGGAUUGAUUCUAUUUCGUUGGUUUCUAGGGUCACCGUAAUGAUUAAUAGGGAUAGUUGGGGGCAUUAGUAUUCAAUUGUCAGAGGUGAAAUUCUUGGAUUUAUUGAAGACUAACUACUGCGAAAGCAUUUGCCAAGGAUGUUUUCAUUAAUCAAGAACGAAAGUUAGGGGAUCGAAGACGAUCAGAUACCGUCGUAGUCUUAACCAUAAACUAUGCCGACUAGGGAUCGGACGCAGUUAAUUUUAUAAUGACGUGUUCGGCACCUUACG